rnacentral:ncRNA from 1 species
UUCUGUCGGGGUGCCUCACUGGAGGCUGAGAUCGCAAUUGCGGAUCCCGUUGAACCUGAUCUGGUUAGUGCCAGCGUAGGGAACAGAGA